UUUUUUCUUUUUCUUUUUCUUUUCCAAUAGUUGUGUUGGAUAGAAAUUAGGCUUUGUAUGAGGCGUGGAAAAACUGAAAAAGGGAAGCCAGGGUGAUAACAAACUCAGGAGGGGAGUGUAGCUUUUGGCCUUUUGCUGCUAAAACUUACUUACAACACUAUCUACUCCUCGACAGAGCUGAUGUUGUUUCUAUAGAUACAAAACUACAAAGCAGUGUAUCAGUGCCUUACAGUUCUUGAUCUUGUUAAUUGUCAGUGAUGUUAGGUUGGUGGGGAAGGAAGUUGUAGUUGUCAAACCUUCAAAGUAAUCAAUACUUCGUAUUUCAAGAUUACUGGUGUGCAUCAUGUCUCUCGCCAACUGUGCCACCUCCAAUUUAUCGCGAUCUCUGAGCGAUGCUCAAAUUUCUUGGCCACACAUUCAUUCUCGGCAACGAAACAAGACUUUGACAAUCCGCAACACUUAAUGGCCGAAGAGUGGUGAGGUGGCACAGUCCCUCGGGUAAGGAUUUCAGGUUUGGGCAGUCCCAGACUAUAAUUUCUUCGAGUUGACAGCUGUCAUCGAGGAACCUCUCACUGAUUAGCUUCAACUGUCCACAACCCCAUAUCUCAAGCUUUCUAAGAGUUUUGGGCAACUGGCCUUUGCAUAAUAAGCACGUCAAAGAUGGACAAUUCCUUAUCUUCAAAUGCUCAAGACAAGAAGAAAAAAACCGUCUCCCAUCUCCUCCUCUAUCUCUAUCAAUGAUUUCAAAUUCCCACAAUUCGUGAUCUAUAUUCUUCUUAGGCUGGGAGGAAUCUGGUAUUUUGCGAAGUGUGAAAGAGAUUUGCAGUCCUCAAUCACUAUGACUUGGAGACAAGGUGGCAAACCAGAUCCGGAAAAGAAACAAGACUUGAACUUAAUUCCAGACGUUCAAUAUUGCAAUCCAGAAUUUGCAAUUGCACCAACUUCUCUGCUUCAAUCCCUAGCUUUUCAACAAAGAUCGAGUUGUCUUCGAUAUACACACGACCAAGAGAAAUCAAGUGUUGCAGUAAUCUAUUUUCAUUUUGAAAGCAACAUGUAAGCUCCUUACAACCGGUGAUCUUCAACUCUUUAAAUACCAUUUUUCAAGCUUUUCAUGAACGCCUCUGUUGGGAAUCUCAAUUCUGAUACAUUUGAAAAUGUCAAACUCUCUAGUAAGUCAAAUUGAACUGUACUUGUGUCGUACACCACCAAUGUUUGAUCCAUGAAGCUGUUUGUAUUUGGAUACUGAAACCACCAAUUCCUCACAUCCAUAUAUCUCAAGCUGUGCUAAUGAAUCGAGCUUCUCUGGUAAAUCACCCUCCAAUUUAGGGCAGCCGAUGAUGGAAAGUUCUUUCAGGCAAGAGAAAACUGUAACCCCCUCACUUUGUUGGCAAGGAGACCACUUCUUCCAAUGUUUCAGUGAGAGAAAAGGGUGAAACGGUGAGAGAAUGUCAUGCACUCCACCUGUUUGAUGAAAUGCUGCAUUCAAAUGAGUUGGGUAAUCUAGGAGGACUGUUGCAGCUCUUACGAGUAUUCGAGAUAAAGGUGAGGGACUUGCUCACCAACCUUUAGAAUAUGCACUUGAGGUGAAUCGUGCAAAAGAGAAUGAAGGUGUUGACAUGAAGGCUAAUCAACUUGAGGAUGGCAAUGCUAUAUCGGAGAUAGGUUUUAGCUCUCAACUUAUAUUCAAAGCAAUGAUUUACUUAAGAUUGUUUCCAGGGCAGAGGUUCCAAUUGAUGGGAUUGUAAUUACCGAUCAAAGCCAUGUGAAUGAGAGUAUUGGUCACACAUGAGGCAAGGGCCAUUUGUGAAAGAUUUGGUUACAGGAUAAUUGGUGGCACCAUGAGUGAUGGAUGCUUACAGGUUAAGGCAAUCCGUCUUUUUGAGGUUGAUAAAGAAAUUGAUGAAAAUGUGGGAUUAAGUCAGUCUCGAGUGUCGAAAGGGAGAGAUCAAAAUGAAAAUGAUGUUAAACAGGAUUUGAAGAUUUACCAGUCAAGUUAUUUUAUUGGAGGCACUGUAGUUUUUUCGGAUAUUCAUGAGCUGGAAAAUUAUUGAUUUUCAACUGGAUGCCUACAGCAGCAAGUCCUUUUUAGGUCUUAUGCCCCUUGAAAGAGUUAUUAAACAUGUGUUGUGGAAGUGUGAAUGGUGAAUGGGAUAACUUACUUGCGGGUGGUUCAUCUGUUACAUUGCUCACCAAGGAUAUAUGUAAUGUUCUGUGGGUGAGUUCUGAUGCACUAAAGCUAAUCCAAUAUGGGUUGGGGACUGCAGUUGUUUUUGUGAAGGAUAAACCACCUGAUAUUGUGGGUAAUAGUUAUGAGAGCAUACGAGCGAAUUCUAAAAGGGUACUGGAGUUAAUAUUGGAGAAGUGGAAAUCAAGAGGUACUGCCGAAACAGUUAUUGGCUUGCAGUGUUGCUAUUGUGAGGCAGAGGAGAUUCUACUCUCUUGCAGGGAAGCAUUCAACAUAAUUGGUGAAAUGACUCAAACCACCUCAUUGUCCCAGGUAUCCACUGUAAAUUUUCAAGAUGAUAGACGAGAUUUUGUGAGUUUCUUUUGUGACAUGAUUAAGCUGUAUGUCGUGAUCUUUAGUGCUUUUAUUGAUAAUGCUGGAAGUUCGCUUCAUGCUGAUAUAUUCGAGAUAAAUGGAUCUAUUGCUAGCUCUCUUGUUGAUAUGUAUGCCCACUGUGGAGUAGAUAUAGAAGAGACUGUUUUUUACUUGAUGAUAUCCAGGGGUUUAGGGAAUAUGGGUCCGAUUAUUAGUUCAGUGGCUGACUCCUCAAAUAAGAACUCAUUUUCAGUUGAGGUUGUUGGGGUUUUUGCUUGGGAUGGUGAUCCAGGGUCUUCACACAUCAAAAGGGCCAAGGCCGAGAUGUCAACUAUUUGUGUUUUGGACUAUGAGAAUGGGUUUAGUGCAACAGAAGUGCCCCAGUUUGGUGGAAUUGAUUUUGGCCAGGGGUUUUCAAGUGAUGAAAUGCAUAGGUCUGGAUUCAUGUUAUAUGGGUUGGGGUCAAUGAAGAAUUUUGCUACUCCACAUGAAGUUAUUGCUGUCUCUUGGAAUGUUAAUUUGCUGGCAGCAUAUGUCAAGUCUGGAUAUAUAUAUAGCGGCCAUCAAUUGUGGGGUGAUAACACAUAUGUCAUCUCAUUCUCAAAUGUGACUUCAUGGAAUCACAUAUUCUGUUGCUAUUUCCAUAAUGAGAUCAACAUGGAGGUAAAAAAUAUAAUUAAUAGCAUACAAGAAGUUGUUGUUUGCUGGAACUAUAUGAUAGCAGGGAAUUCACUCAAUUCUCAACAUGAGGUGAUUACCAUGCAAAUUUCCUAUGCUACUAUACUGCUGAGUUGCUGUGCAAAGCUUGCUUAUUCAUCUCCAGGGAAACAUGUUCAUGUCCGGUUACGUUUAACAAAAUUUGGAUAUGUGAAUGAUGCCUUAGUUGAGUUUCAUGAUCAAAUGUCCCCACGAUACAAGUCAAAGAUAAUGAAGUAUCUCAGAGAGCAUCUGAAAUCAUCAAGUGAGCUCUUACUUCCUCAUGUGAUUCAACUCUCUUUGGUGGAAUCUACUUAUCAAAGUAAAUUGGUGAUGACUUUAUGCACUAGUUUAUUGGAUGAGCUUUACAACAGAGGAAUUGGAUUUAGCCAUAUUGCAACAUCCAUGCAGAGUGUAUCAAUUGGAAAUGGUUCUAUGCUUGUGCUAUUGCAACUGGUUUGGUUGAUGUUAGAAAAACUUUUCAAGUGUGAGCACAAGGAAAAUGUAUUUACCAGUUUCGAGCUACUGUUGACUAACCAAUUUAUCAUAUAGGCUCUUGGGUUCCAGCAAAAGCUCUUUAUUCUUAUUGGUCUACUAGUGACAGAGAGUUUACCUUAUGAUCUAAUCGUGAUAUGGGGUGAUGAAUGGUUUUUGUCAGGAAAACACUAUUGUUUUCUUGGAUAUGUGGAUGAGGUGAACAAGUGUUCAUUCAAGUUGCUUGGCAAGCUCAAGGCUGAGCGUAAGUGUGAUAACACCAUUGAUAUCACGUUGUGGAAGUUUGAGACCACCAAGUACUACACUGACAUUGUUGCUCCCAGACAUCCUGAUUUCAUCAAGGAUAUGAUUACUAGUACUUCCAAGGCUGAUUAUGUUAUCCUCAUCAUUGACUCCACCACUGGGGGUUUCGGAAGCUGAUAUCUCGAAGGAUGGGCUAGCCUGCGAGUACAUUCUGUUCACUUUCACUCUUGGUGACAAGCAGAUGAUCUAUUGCUGCAACAAGACUUAAUGGGAUGCCAUACUCCCUUGCAGGUGGUUAUUUGAGCUCCAAUUAUCUAGCAGGGUACUUCUCUUAUGCUCAUAUGAUCCUUUCGAAAUCAGUACACAUCAUGGAAUCGUUGCUGCAACAUUCUUCAGUUUUUUCCUGUUAACUUGUGGGGAAGUAUUUGAAGAUCUAUGUUUUUGGGUGCUGUUUAGUCUAGACCAUAGUUGGUUAAAUUGCAAUGUCUCUUUGGUAAUUGAAACUUGAGGUCAAGUUUGCUAAAGGGGGAUGGAUUGUUAUGAUAUUUUACUCACUUAGUCAUGUGCCGCGCGCAUGUGACCAGCCAAAUAGGUUUAUAUGUACUCAUUUGAGAGUUUUUGCUCAGUGUCAAUGAAAAUAUCAGCAUUUUAAUUUCUUUCAUUUAUGCAUUUCUUUACUUUUCUCUCUAGUUAGGGCUAAUACCCUAACACCACCGUCUGCGUCGUGUAGGACUUGAAUCCUUCCAAGGUCACCUCCUUGAUGUACAUAGCUGUGCUCACCGGAGAGAUGCGGACGCUAACCGUGGCUGAUUUUGGAGAGAUUUAGGGUCGGUGGUUAGAUCGGAACCCUAGAAAUUUGAGCUUCUGGUUUUUGGUUUUGGGAACUUGAAAGUCUGAAAUGAAAUGGUUCGAAUUUCUUUUUAUUGUUUUCCACUUUUUUGGUGGGUUCGAAUUUUUAAUUAACCCUAGACAAAGGUGGGAAAAGACAGAUAUUUGGGCCAAUGACUUAUAUCUUGGGCUUUAUCCAACAGUGUAUGAGCUGAACGAUAUCGUUUUAUAACGCAGGAUUUUGAUUUUAAAUUCUCGGUUUUCCGAGUUUGAAAACUCAUUAAAAACGAUCGGGUGAAGAUUUUUCAAGUUCGUCAGUUUUACAAUUACUUAAAAUCAUGAUUUACCAAUGUAAAGACUUUGGUGAACAUAUAAGAAUAUAGGAUUUUUGUCAAAAAAAAACGUGCUAUAACCCACAUUUUCGGAUGGAUAUCAUGAUUUUGAACAAUUUUUUGUUUUCUUUGAGAAAGCUCUGUUGUUGGUUCUUAUUGUAAAACUAGUGUUUUACAAGUGUUCUCCACAGCAAUUUCUAUGAUAUAGAAGAGUCAAAACUUCUUUUUCUCAGACAGACUGGUUCAGUACAACAGGCUACACUCGGCAUUGUACUUGUUUCUAUAGUCUGUUUGUAUGAAUAUCUACUCACCUCAGUUUCUUUUUUACAUACAUACACAAGAAUCAAUAAUGCCAUUUUGGUCUUUUUUCCUCUUCCUUUUCGGUCAACUCCCGGUACUGAUACCACACUGCUCCAGACUUACCCACUGGGAUUGGAGACCUAACAAAUAUUUCGACUGGCUUGGGGAAAUGCACAGCUAAAUGCAGUUCCCCUGCAGUUUUUUCUGAAUUUGAAUCAGAACUUUUUAAUAAUCUGCAAAUAGGUUCAAUACUAAUCCACCCUAAGCCUGAUAUAGCGACAUCACAUGCUGGCCUGCAUACAAGGAAAAGAGAAGAAUUCUCAUAUUGAUUAACCAACUAACUUUAUGGAAAUAUCAGAACUGCAAUACUCAUAUGAAUGAUUUACCUUUGCACGUCUUGAACUUUUAUUUGCAAUUGACGCUGAGAGUCGAGACCUCUCCAUUCAUCUUCUCUUUCUUUCCCAGUUGGAGGUGUCAGUAAGACUCCAAUGUGUUUCUGCAACAUGUUAAAAGGCACAUUAGAGCAUCUCCAACAACUUCCCUAUUUUCUUAAACUUCUCAAUUUUGGGGAAUAUAAAGUUGUUUUUAGGUCCAACAGCUUACCCAUCCCAUUCCCCAAAAUAGGGAUGAAGAAGAAAAAGAAGCCUUCAUUCCCCAAAUUUGCAGCAAAGUCUUCCUUCCUCAAAAUUAAAUUAUUCACGUACUCCAACGAAUUUAAAACAACAAUAAAAUAUUUGAUUGGGUAGUUUAUUGUUACAAUGAAAUAUGUAAUGUUUUUUUUGUUAUAAUUCAUGAUGAUAUAUUAUAUUUUAUGGUUGUAUUAAAUGUCAAAAUCUCUAAAAUGGAGAAGCUGCUGGAUUUUGAUCAUAAUUUUUUUGAAGAUUUUAGCUUUUACUUCCUCAUUUUAGAGAAAUUUUGGAGAAGCUGUUAGAGAUGCUCUUACAAUCACACGAAUCAGUUUAAAGAGAAAAAUAUAAUGCACAGCUUUAAGGUCGGAAUGGUAUCACAUUUUCAUAGUGUCAGUAACAUAAAAGGGUUCACUUUAAUUGUUUUCAAAAUAUUUUAAAUGCUUCAUAAGUCAGCUGUACUUGGGAAAUAAGAAACUUUAUGAAUCUCAAGUGGGACGUUGAUUACCUGGUAAAAUUCAUCCACCUCAUCAGUUGGUACCAUAUGAAUCUGAAGACUCUUUGGCCCAUAAAACGUUAAACGUGUUUCAAGAAGAACCUGAAAUUAUCAAUAUUUGAUUACUCAGGAAACACCGUAUAUGCAUCAGCCAGAUAAAGAUCGUAUCUGAAGCUACAAGGCCAAACCAAACCUUUAAGACAUCUACUCUGACAAGACCUCCCCAGAAUAUUGAAUAGCCAUUCCAAUCAUUGGAAUUGCCUUGCCUUGUUGUUCCACUUCCAGAAACCAGAGAAUUCUGGAGGGAUAAGAAACAGUCAACAACUCAAACAUAGACAAAAAAGUAUGUCAUUCUUAUGAAUGAUCAGUUAUGUUGCCUUGAAGAGGUUGUUACAUUAUGGUGAUCUCAUUCUCAGGUGGUCCUGGUAGUGGGGGAGGCAAUGUGCUGAGAGGGCAAUGUGCUAAGACUUUGGGUUCACUCAUGCUUCUCCCCAGAUCUCUUGUUCAAUUCAAAGAGGUGAGUCCCUGAGUUUGUAACAAAAAGCUCACCAUAACAUACACGUCACACCCCUGCCAAAGAACUCAAUUUGGAGUUCAUGUAAAUGAUAGAAGUUCAUGUUCCAAUUCAUUCAACAGAAAGUACAAAAUAUGCCUGAGAAUGGAUAAUGCUAUACACAUAAACUGAUAUCAAUGGCUUAAACAAUGAACCGGACACAUGCAUACACAUAACUAAGAAGUGCAUACCUUCUUUUCCUUUUGAAUCUCUGAUGCAACUCCAGCUAGCUAGCUACUCCAACCGAAGACUUUGAACUCAUCAGAUGAAUGCUUAUAACACUGCAAACAAGCACCAAGGGAAACUCAUUUGGAUGGAUAAUAUAUAAAUAAGUACAAGCAAAGGCCAAUGAAACUAAUCUUACUUAAGCUUCUUCUUUACAGCGGCCUCCAGUCCUCCGCAACUCAAUCACCAGUACAAAUUAAAUCAGUCCCCCUUGGGAAGUACAUCAACCUGUCAUUAGAAAGUCCAAUUAGAAAACUGCAUGAAUCAAUGCCACAUUACAUAAGUACCAAUGAGCAGCUUAAUACCUCAGUAAUCACUAAUAUUAUCAGAUUCGCACCAGCCAAAAAGCUACCAUUGAAGUCCACAAUAUCAAGUUAUCAACCAACAUAACCAUCUGCCUAGUUCAAAAUUUAGUCAGUAGAUUAAGAAAUGAAUUUGGUGUUGAUAGGUAAGUAAUCUAGAAUCUGUGCAUACUUUAGAGGCAACAAAAAUGUUUUCUCUUUCCACCGUCCCAUCUUGAAUAGCCUCUGUUAAAACUAUUCCCAGGGCAGCCUCAGAACCAUAUAUCCUGGCUGUAACAAAAUGCCUGUAACGUUCCCAUUUUCAGAUAUUUGCAGGAAAUUGGAGCAUACUACCCUGGAAAGGCUACUACAUAUAUAUGUUUUGCCAUUAAAACUUACUUACAACACUAUCUAUAAAAGAGUCUCAUGCUGUUGUUCAACAUAUAUGUUUUGCUACUAAAUAUGUUACAUUUAAAAGUUCGAACUAUUUACUUUAUUGACAAAUAUCAACCCUUGAGAGUGUUUGAGUGUCACAGUUUACACAACCAGCUAUGGCAGCUUGUGUUUGAUUAGUAGCUUGAUUAAGAUGACAUAAUACAUUGUUAUAAAGCCAUUGAAUACAACGAGUAUUUGAAUAGUGAUUAGCAAAUUAAACUUCAACAUAGAAUACAAAACUACAUGCAAUACAGUUCAAACGCCUGAUGCAAGUUUUCCAGCACGUACGAAACAAAACUAACAAAUUGAAAUGCAUUUUCACAGCUUAGCGUAUUUGACCAACCUCGACAGAGCUGAAAUUACAAGUGCGUACCUGGAAACGACUCGAUCCAGGAGUGUUGGUUUUCUCUUAUAUGACUUCCCUAUUAAUUCGUACACAAGGGAUGUGUGCUAUCUUGUGCCGGUAUCGUCCAUUGUAUCUCUGCUCAAGUAGAGGACAGUUGUCAAUAUCAAGUUCCUCAAGUAAAAGAGGCAGGCCUUCCUCCACUGGAAGGGUUGUAAGCUUCGGACAGUCGAAGAUCCGAAUAUUUUCAAGAGAGGUGAGGAUUUGAAAGCCCUUGCUCAGUUUCUUUAGAUUUGGGAAGCCUUCAAUUGUCAAAUCAACAAGAGAUCUGGGGAGCAGUAUCUCCGUCUCCUUUGAAUUCUCAGCAGCAGGUGGAAAUGACACCAGACCUCCAUCAUCUUCACCGCUCAGAUACAAAUAUGUCAAAGAGGCGAGUCUCUGCAACCCUUGAGAUUCCAUCAGCGCCUUACAGUUCUUGAUCUUCCAGAUUGACAGUGAUGUUAGGUUGGUGGGGAAGGAAGUUGUAGUUGUCAAACCUUCAAAGUAAUCAAUUGUCAGUAUUUCAAGAUUACUGGUGUGCAUCAUGUCUCUCGCCAACUGUGCCACCUCCAAUUUAUCGCAAUUUCCGAUCCGUAUCUGUCUUGGCCACACAUUCAUUCUCGGCAACGAAACAAGACUUUGACAAUUCUGAAUAGUUAAUGACUGAAGAUUGCACAGUCCCUCGGGUAAGGAUUUCAGGUUUGGGCAGUCAAAGAUGUAAAUUAACUCGAGUUGGCAGCUGUCAUCGAGGAACCUCUCACUGAUUAGCUCCAGCUGUCCACAUUCCUGUAUAUCAAGCUGUUCAAGAGACCUGGGUAAUUGACCUUUGCAUAAUAAGCACAUCAAAGAGGGACAUUCUAUUAUCCUCAAAUGCUCAAGACAAGAAGAAGAAGAACCGUUACCCACCUCCUCCUCUUUCUCUAUUAAUGACUUCAAAUUCCCACAUCUCUUAAUCCCUAUUCUUUUUAGGCUGGGAGGAAUCUGGUAUUUUGCAAAGUGCAACAGAGAUUCGCAGUCCUUAAUCACUAUGACUUGGAGACAAGGUGGCAGACC
rnacentral:lncRNA from 1 species